rnacentral:rRNA from 1 species
GGUGCUUGCAUCAUGAUUUACAUUUGAGUGAGUGGCGAACUGGUGAGUAACACGUGGGAAACCUGCCCAGAAGCGGGGGAUAACACCUGGAAACAGAUGCUAAUACCGCAUAACAACUUGGACCGCAUGGUCCGAGUUUGAAAGAUGGCUUCGGCUAUCACUUUUGGAUGGUCCCGCGGCGUAUUAGCUAGAUGGUGGGGUAACGGCUCACCAUGGCAAUGAUACGUAGCCGACCUGAGAGGGUAAUCGGCCACAUUGGGACUGAGACACGGCCCAAACUCCUACGGGAGGCAGCAGUAGGGAAUCUUCCACAAUGGACGAAAGUCUGAUGGAGCAACGCCGCGUGAGUGAAGAAGGGUUUCGGCUCGUAAAACUCUGUUGUUAAAGAAGAACAUAUCUGAGAGUAACUGUUCAGGUAUUGACGGUAUUUAACCAGAAAGCCACGGCUAACUACGUGCCAGCAGCCGCGGUAAUACGUAGGUGGCAAGCGUUGUCCGGAUUUAUUGGGCGUAAAGCGAGCGCAGGCGGUUUUUUAAGUCUGAUGUGAAAGCCUUCGGCUCAACCGAAGAAGUGCAUCGGAAACUGGGAAACUUGAGUGCAGAAGAGGACAGUGGAACUCCAUGUGUAGCGGUGAAAUGCGUAGAUAUAUGGAAGAACACCAGUGGCGAAGGCGGCUGUCUGGUCUGUAACUGACGCUGAGGCUCGAAAGUAUGGGUAGCAAACAGGAUUAGAUACCCUGGUAGUCCAUACCGUAAACGAUGAAUGCUAAGUGUUGGAAGGGUUUCCGCCCUUCAGUGCUGCAGCUAACGCAUUAAGCAUUCCGCCUGGGGGAGUACGGCCGCAAGGCUGAAACUCAAAGGAAUUGACGGGGGCCCGCACAAGCGGUGGAGCAUGU